GGGCUGGCAGUCACGGUGGAAUGCAGGCAGUGCAUACCCACAGGACACACACAGCCCCAGACCAAGUGGCCCCGAGCUCCUGUGUGCUGGACAGUUCCUUUCCUGUGGCUGCUGUAACAAAUGACCACAAAUGCGGCAGCUUGACACAACAGGAAUUUAUUCUCUUCCAGUUCCGGAGGUCAGAAGUCUGAAAUGGAGGGGUCAGCAGGGCUGGGCUGUUCCUGCAGACGGUAGGAGAGAAUCUCUCGUUGCCUCUUCCAGCUUCUGGCAGGCCUUCGCUUCCUGGCUGCAAACUCCAGUUUCUGCCUCUGCGGUCACUCUGCCUCCUCUUCCUCUCUCUUCUAAGGAAACUUUUCUUGGUUUUGGGCGGGAUCCUAGGGACCCCCAGAUAAUCCAGGAUGAUCUCCUAGUGAGACCCUUAACUUAUUUACAUCUGCAAAGAUCCUUUUUCCACACAAGCUCCCACUCACGGGUUCUGGGAGUUAGUGCACAUCUUUGGGGGGCCACCAGUCACCUCGCUAUGAAAGGAAUUCAUGUCUGCUCUUCCACUCUGCACAAAUAUUAGUUUUCCAUAUGUUUCUCCAACAAAUUCUGUACUUUGCUGAUGGUCAGGCGUCAUUAAAGUAGUCUCCAAUGGCUGUUUCGGGCUUACCCAAAUACUUUUGUCCUCCCCCCACCACAUCCAAACACACACACACAAAAUAACAUAUCUGCACACAGAUGGUUACACACUGUCCCCAGGUCCUUGUACAGAAAUGUGCGUGUGUGCCGCAGUCCUUCACUUGACACGUAUUUGUUGAGUGCUCACCAUGUGCUAGGCCCUGUGGAGGCACUGGAAACGCUGCAGUGAACGAGGCAGCAAGCCCACGCCUUGUUUACAUUCUGCUGAAAUAUUUACACGCACACACGAUGAUGUAUGUAGAUGCAGAGCCCGCAAGGUUUUUCCAUGCCUGGGGCUCCCAGAAGGACUGAAGUCAGCAAUUCCAGGCCACAGGCAGCAAGGGGAUGUGAAGGCCUUUAAUGCAAAUAAACCAAGUCACCAGGAAAGUCAUUUUUAAAACAACAAAUCCUUGAUUAAGUGAAACCCUUGUGGGCAAGGGUGAACUCCCCACCCGUUUCUGAAAGCGCAAAGCACUGUUAUGGAAGCGCUCGGAGUUCUUGGGUGAGAGAGGAGUCUGAGCAAAGGGACCAGCUGGGCCUUGAACAGCCAGCACAUGCUGGAUUUGAGGUCAGCCCCAAGGACAAGGCGUGCUGGGCCGCCUGGAGGGGAGACAGCGUGACCACAAGAGACAGCCAGGGCUCAGCCGUCAGCUAUGAUCUGCAGGGUAAGAAGCAAGAUGAGGAGAGGCAGUGUUUCAUCUUCAGCCUGGGUCGUGCAAGCCAAGGGUGUCUGUAAUGUCCCUUGGUGGUGGUUCCAGGAUGAAACAGCACACCCAAGAGAGUACCUUCAAGUGGAGGCCAGAUGCAAGACAGACCUGCAGUCCCAAACAUACCAAAGGCUCUUGAGCACAGGUUGACAGGUGGGUUCUUUACGACUAGCACUCUCUGGGAAGCCUGCCCAGCUCCAUAUCAACACACUAUUCUGUAAAUUCAUGGUGGACGCUGGGAUCCCCACAAGGAAAUGAAGAUCCCCAUUCAGGAACGAAGCACAUGUUACCUCAGAGUGACCCUCACUGAGGGUGAGGUAAGUGACCCUCACUUACCCUCACUGAGGGUAAGCCUCAGCCACACUGAGGAUAAGCCUCAGCCACAGUCAAGAAGAGCCUCACUGAGGACAGCCACCCCGAGCAAGGUCACAUCCUCACAUCAGGCAGCCCACGUCUAAGGACUGAUUGUCAUAGGAGGAUAAAGGGCAAGCCCUCUCACUCCCCCUCCCACUUCAAACCAGCUCUGGAGUUUGGUCCCAGCUGCAGCCAGAGGCAGCUCAAGGCUUCCACGGAAACAUCAGCAGAUCCUGCUACCCUUUCUCAUUCCAUCCUGCUCCACAUCAAAGGACUCUCCCAUCAGCAUAAUUCUCCAGUCUCAGAACUGGGAUUGGAAUAAUCCAUCCGAAGCUCUGGGUGAAGCCAAAACUGCAACACAGAAGCUUAGAGCAGAAGUCAGUUCAAGGGGAUACCGAACACAAGAACUGGCCUGGAUGCUGCUUGUGGAGCUCUGCAGAUCCAAGAGCCCAGGAGGGGGUGAGGAGGAAGAGAGAGAGACGCCACUCAGAGUGUAUUGCGCUGCUCAGACUGCUCUUCUGGAAAAUUUAGCCCUACGAAAGCCACCAGCUUUGCAGCUGUAAAUCAAUUUCAGUUAUUCCUCUCUUCCCUGCCUCAAUUCCUCUCUCCUCCUCUCUCUCUUCUUCCCUCCCUCCCUUCUCACCUUUCUUAUCUUUCUUCCCAUUCUUCUAACUUAAUUUUUUCCAAUGAUUAAAAAAGAAAACCUAUUUAUUAUAAGCAUUUU
ensembl:lncRNA